UACGUAGGGGGCAAGCGUUGUCCGGAAUCAUUGGGCGUAAAGCGCGCGUAGGCGGCUCGAUAAGUCUGCUGUGAAAGUUCAGGGCUCAACCCUGAAAUGCCGGUGGAAACUGUCGAGCUAGAGUCCGGAAGAGGUGAGUGGAAUUCCUGGUGUAGCGGUGAAAUGCGCAGAUAUCAGGAGGAACACCAAUGGCGAAGGCAGCUCACUGGGACGGUACUGACGCUGAGACGCGAAAGCGUGGGGAGCAAACAGG
rnacentral:rRNA from 1 species